rnacentral:tRNA from 1 species
CAGGGAGACAACAAAAUGUUUAAUAUUAUUAUUUUGUCACCUUAGGUCGAUCGGUAUCUCACAUCCCUAAUUUAUUAAGGAUUUCAUUUCCUAAGUUUUUCUAGGUCACACCCAUUAUUUUUCCUGGGCCAUUAGCUCAGGUGGUUAGAGCGCACCCCUGAUAAGGGUGAGGUCCCUGGUUCAAGUCCAGGAUGGCCCAUAUCUCUAUGUUGGGGGUAUAGCUCAGUUGGUAGAGCGCCUGCUUUGCAAGCAGGAUGUCAGCGGUUCGAGUCCGCUUACCUCCACUGAUUACCACCUUUCAUAAUCGUAGAGAAAGGAAAUUUUUUGUGUUGUGAUCAAAUUCUGAAGGAAUCUAGCUUCCUAAUGUGAUCAUUAAGAUGCUGGACUCAUUGAAUUAUUUUCAUUGUUUUCAGAGAACCUUGACAACUGCAUAGAUUAUUUUUUAAAGACAAUAAGCAUCUUUAAUGAUGCAGAUUUAUUAUUUGUGCAAAUGCAUUAAUAACAAUUCUAUUAAGCUGAUGCUUCAAUUUUUUGAAGUUAUU